rnacentral:rRNA from 1 species
GACGAACGCUGGCGGCGUGCCUAAUACAUGCAAGUCGAGCGGACGGCCGAGUGGCUUGCUCCUCUGACGUUAGCGGCGCACGGGUGAGCAACACGUGGAUAUCCUACUUACUAGACUGGGAUAGAUCUGGGAAACCGUAGCUCCUUCCGGAUAAUAUUUUGAUCCCCAUGGUUCAAAAGUGAUAGACGGUGUUGCUUUCAUUUAUAGAUGCAUACACGCUUCAUUAGCUAGUUGGUAAGGUAACGGAUUACCAAGGCAACGAUGCAUAUCCGACCUGAAAGGGAGGACGACCACACGGUAACUGAGACUGAGUCGAGACACCUACAGUGGGCAACAGUAGAGAAUCUUCCGCAAUGCACGAGUGCCUAACAUAGCAACACCGCGUGAAUGAUGAUGGUCUUCUGAUCGUAGAGCUCUGUUGUUAUGGGAGAACAUAUGUUUAAGUAACUGGGCACAUCAUGACGGUACCUAAUCAAAAAGCCACGGCUAACUACGUG